ensembl:lncRNA novel transcript
UUGCUCACAAAUUUGUAAUUUAGCAGGGAUCAGCAGAGAUGGCAUAUUCUGUUCCAUGCAGUGUCAGAUGGAAUAGUUCCAGUGAGGAUAGAGUAUUCAUUUACAAGACGGCUCAUUCACAUGGCAAAACUGUCAUGUCAGCCUGGGACCUUGAUUCCCCUCCAUGUGGACUUUGUCAUGAGGUUGCUUGGACUUCUUCCCAGCAUGGCUGCUGAUUCCCAGAACAAGUGUUCCAAGGGGCCCUGGGAGAAGCUGAAAAGUUCUUAUGACCUAGGCUUGAAAGUUCUAGAAUAGCACUCCCACCACAUUCUACUGGCUGAGCAAGUUGCUAGAGCCAGACAGGUUCAAGAAGAAGAAAAUUAGACUCCACCUCUCAGAAUGAGGAAGAAUAGAGAAUUCGUGACAGUCUUCAAUCUGCCAUAUCUCUCCCAGGAAAGGCCAGGAGACAGACAUCUACUCUGGAUAGCUUGGAAGACAGUGGAUACAUUGGAGUUUAUGGAACGCCUAAGAACCAAGUGUCCUUAGGCCCUAGGUUGAAAAUUCCUGGGUUAAACUGUCAUCCUACUGAAGAUAAAAAAUGGACUCCUGCACCCACCUCCUCCUACAAGCUAGACUAAACUAGGCAUGCCAUUUUAUGCUAUAUGUCUCCUCUUUCCUGCAGCUCCUGUUGCAAUUCAAUAAUCAUUUGUGAAAUUAUAUAUUUAAUUGACAGCACACUAGACUAAGCUCCUCAUGAAAGCAAAGGCCAAGCUUGUCUUACCCACCCUCAAAUCCCCAACAUCAAGCCCCCCUUUGCUGCAUAGUAUGCCCUCAAUACAUAUUAGUUGAAUUAAUUACAUGAUCAUUCGAUGGAAUUUCCAGUUGUGGGUUUCCAAGCUCCUACUCCAGCCAUCUGACCAGAAUUAAGAACAGGAACUUGAUCCCAGGCAGAGGUUUCCAGACAGCAAGACAUCUAGGCAUAAAACCCACACAGCCAACGCUUUGCUCCCUGGCCUCGCUCUGGGUCCCACAGAUUGCACGUGUUUUGCAUAUGGAACCUCAUUGACAUCACUGGGAAUUUCACAGAUGGAACAAAUGAGAAGGUGGCAAUAGAAGUUUGCAGCAUGAAGCUGUCAAGAAGAGGUGCUUUGUGACUAGGAGAACAGAGAGCAUGUGCCCUGAUGAAUGAGAGGCAAGUGGCGUGCUGACGGGGGACAGUCAUUGGCUGCCCUUUGAACACAUUGGGGUCAAGGCCCUGUCCAGCUCACUUGGUCCCCAACAUUGGAAGCUUGGGCUCGUUCCAUAAUAGCAGCCUGGCCCGACUUUCCAUCCCGCAUCCCCCUCCUCACCCCUGGCUCCUGCUCUCUGCUUCCCUCCCACCAGUCCCCAGACAAAAACAAAAGGCCCAUUACGAAGUUAUUAGCUUCGUCUCGCAUAUCCCACGGAGUAAGACAACUGCCAACCCCACUUCAACUUAAAAUGUUUAACAGAUUUGCCCACAUCUAAUUUCUGUCACUGUGUUUACAGUACAAGGAACCCAGAGAAGAAAGCAGUGGAGAAAAGUAGUAGGGUUGGGGUUGUGGGGGGACAGUGGAGGAGGCAAAAAAUAAAUGCCAAACUCCUUCAAAGGGCGACAUUCCUCCUUGCGGUUUGCAAACACUUCCUCUUUCCCCAGCCAUCCUGUAAUCAGGCUCCAGUGCUCACCAGAGGAGUGUUUACAUCCAACACCAUUACCGGCAGGGGAGACAGGCGAAAUUAAGGCCUCUGGUCUCUGUUCUCUGAGGCCCCAUUAUCUUUUCCCUCCCCUUUACCCCCUUUCAUCAAACGCCUCCAAUAUAUGAAGGGGUAAAAGCCUUUAAUGGGAUUUUGAAGAUCUUAAAAGCCAGGCGGUUUGUUUAAAAAGGAAAAAGACCAAGAGUGGAGCAUAGCCUGGGAUCCCUGGGUCCAUUUCUUGAAAAAGGGAGCAAACUUUGUUCCAUUUUUUCCCAUCUGCCAAAUCAAGUGUUGGGUUUGAGGUUUGUCUUGGAUGGACAAGCAGACCACACAGAACUGCCAGUGCACAGCCCCCUUUCCAGGGAUGCUGAGAACUCAGUCCACGGCACUCUCCAGGCCUGGCAUCUUCCCCCCCAUCUCUCCAUUGGAGCCAUCCCCAAGACCCAAAUUGGCAUCAACAUCCCCGACCACAGUUAGCUGAGCCUAAUGGUGGCCAAGGGAACAGGAGAGAAGGGAGACAGCAGUCAAGGUCAAAGGAAAUAUUGCAUGUUGGCAAAUCCAAUGGGACGGAUGUUGGGAAAGCCCCAGUCAUACACAACCUCAAAGUUUGGUUAAGAGAGAAACUGGGUUUUCCAAAGCAAUGGUGCUAUUUGGUAUUCUCUUUCCACUUAUUUGGGCUAGUUAGGCAUUGCUGAAUCAGCGUUAGAUUGGCUUGGGAUGUGUUGCGCCACAGUUGUCUGGAGGAGCCAUACUGGGUUGAAGAGUGAUUUCUUAAGAACAUUGCUUCUGCAUGGUGCAUUGCAUUGAGCCGUGCUGUAUUGAAGAUGUUGUUGAAUUUAUGGUCAAAAUUUGAGUAGAAUAUUGGCAUGUAAUUUUGUAUUGCCAUAGUAUUAUUUUGAUCUCUGGUGCCACGUAGGCUGUAGUAUUAUUUCAGAAGACAUGUUGAGAUGCAAUACUGUGUUUGUUCAGGACUGUUGUUGAGUUGCACUAUAAUGUCACAUUGGCGUGUGGUAUUGUGUGGGUAAGCGGUGUGGUAACACCAUCAAGCACUGGUUCUGUUCAUCAGAGGAACUGACUCUCCUAGCAAUAAAACCCAAUCUCCCCUCCCACUGUUGCCACGUGGUCCCUCUGCACAGAAGCUGAUGGCUUUCAGGAGACAGGAGACAGAACCGUGUCUCUGGGAAUACCAAGGGAGACCUUGAGGUCAUCAGAGCUCAAUUACUCAGACUGAUGAUUGGCUGAACAGCAAGUCAAAAUCCCUGGGACUCUUCUACAAAGUGCAAUGGGUCUUGAAUUACUGCACUCUCUGGUUUCCCUCAUGGCAACAGCCUCCCCUCAAA